rnacentral:rRNA from 1 species
CACCCAUCAGCUAGCUUAUUUACUAAAUCCAACAACCCCCUAUAAAUAACCACUGAGGACCUACCCUCCCACCAAACAAACCAUUUUUCCUCCCAAGUACGGGCGACAGAAAAGGAACUACCGAAGCAACAGCAACAGUACCGCAAGGGAACGCUGAAAGAGAAGUGAAAUAAAUCAGUAAAGUACAAAGAAGCAGAGCUUAACCCUCGUACCUCUUGCAUCAUGAUUUAGCAAGAACCCCCCAAGCAAAAAGUAUUUUAGUUUGGAACCCCGAAACCAAGUGAGCUACUCCAAGACAGCCUAAAAGGGCGCACCCGUCUCUGUGGCAAAAGAGUGGGAAGAGCUUUGAGUAGAGGUGACAGACCUACCGAACUUGGUUAUAGCUGGUUGUCCAGGAACUGAACAGGAGUUCAGCCUUUUGCCCUCUCCCUCCAACCAACCACACCACCAAGCCCGCCAGAGGACAAAAGAGUUAGUCAAAGGGGGUACAGCCCCUUUGAAAAAGGUACAACUUUGUUAGCAGGAUUAAGAUCAUAACACCAACCAAGGAGAUCUGUUCUGGUUGGCCUAAAAGCAGCCACCCAUAUGGAAAGCGUUAAAGCUCAAACAUUUUUCCAUCCCAUUAUCCGGACAACUUUAUCUUAUUCCCCCACAUAUACUGGACCUCCCUAUACCCCUAUAGGGGAGACUAUGCUAAUAUGAGUAAUAAGAGGCCCAGAACCUCUCCCCGCACAAGUGUAAGUCGGAACGGACAUACCACCGAAAAUUAACGGCCCCAUAAGAGGGAAAUGCAACAUCAUGGCUAAACCACUAGGAAACCUUCCACACCCCCACCGUUAACCUCACACUAGAGUGCCCCCAAAGGAAAGACUAAAAGAAAAAGAAGGAACUCGGCA